AUUUUACAUGGUGGCAACGACGCGAGGAGGAGAUUUUAUUGCGGCGAUUUCCAUCCAGGUAAGGUCAUCACCCCUCUCUUCCAACUCCAACGAGUCUGUCGACACUCAGCAAUAUGAAGCUACCGGACACGUCAUGGUCGACGGUGGACUGGAGCAUGCGGAGACUGGACGACUGCAUGCAGGGCCGCAUGCCUGAGGAAUUGCUCUUGCACAACCUUCACCAGGGCCAACAUCAGCGGCAGUGGCUGCAUCUUUUGGACCAACAACCUCACUAACAUCAAACACUACAACAAUGGAUUUAGCCAAGAUCUCUACGUUCGAUUGGCAUGAGCGGAUUUAGGUGAAUCGAUGUCUAGUGGCUAUAGCAACAAGAGGCAUGUAGCAGUGAUCAUAGUGGCACUGCUAUUAGCAAUGUUUCUCUUGGUUGCCAUUAUGAUUCUCCUUUGGAGAAGAAGGUAGACGAGAAACAACAAGAUGAGCGAAAAAUAAUGCUGACGAAGAAGAAGCAAUGGAAGAGGAAAACUUAGAAAUGCCUCUUUUUGAUUUGGGUAGGAUUGCUAAGGCCAACAGAGACUUUUGCUUCGACAACAAGCUCGGAGAGGGUGGAUUUGGUCAUGUUUAUAAGGAAAAGUUGGAGGAGGGUCAGGAAAUAGCUGUGAAGAGGUAUCAAAGAUGUUGACACAGGGCUCAGAUGAGUUCUAGACUAAGGUGAUGGUGAUCGCCAAACUGUAACAUCGGAACCUCGUUCACCUUCUCGGCUGUUGUGUUGAGGGGGAGAAAGAAUGUUGAUCUAUGAGUAUAUGCUCAAUGGAAGCUUGGACACAUUUUUAUUUGGUUAGUUAAAUCUCUUGUGAUUCAGAAGACUCCAGUUAAGUUGAUAUGCAAGAUGUUUGACUAUCCCUUGUCUCAUUAUCGAUCGUCCAAAAUAAGGACAUAUGCUGAUUGUUGGAUUGGAGAAUGUGAUACAAUAUUAUACUUGGCAUUGCUCAAGGUGUCUUUUAUCUUCACCAUGAUUCUUGAUACAGAAUCAUACAUAGGGAUUUAAAAACUAGCAACAUACUUCUUGAUAAGGAUAUUAAUCCGAAAAUAUUUGACUUUGGCAUGGAAAAAUUAUUUAGUGGAGAUGAAACAAUAAGAA